rnacentral:rRNA from 1 species
AUUGAACGCUGGCGGCAGGCUUAACACAUGCAAGUCGAGCGGAAACGAUGGUAGCUUGCUACCAGGCGUCGAGCGGCGGACGGGUGAGUAAUACUUAGGAAUCUACCUAGUAGUGGGGGAUAGCUCGGGGAAACUCGAAUUAAUACCGCAUACGACCUACGGGAGAAAGGGGGCAACUUGUUGCUCUCGCUAUUAGAUGAGCCUAAGUCGGAUUAGCUAGAUGGUGGGGUAAAGGCCUACCAUGGCGACGAUCUGUAGCUGGUCUGAGAGGAUGAUCAGCCACACCGGGACUGAGACACGGCCCGGACUCCUACGGGAGGCAGCAGUGGGGAAUAUUGGACAAUGGGGGCAACCCUGAUCCAGCCAUGCCGCGUGUGUGAAGAAGGCCUUUUGGUUGUAAAGCACUUUAAGCAGUGAAGAAGACUCCGUGGUUAAUACCCAUGGACGAUGACAUUAGCUGCAGAAUAAGCACCGGCUAACUCUGUGCCAGCAGCCGCGGUAAUACAGAGGGUGCAAGCGUUAAUCGGAAUUACUGGGCGUAAAGCGAGCGUAGGUGGCUUGAUAAGUCAGAUGUGAAAUCCCCGGGCUUAACCUGGGAACUGCAUCUGAUACUGUUAGGCUAGAAUAGGUGAGAGGAAGGUAGAAUUCCAGGUGUAGCGGUGAAAUGCGUAGAGAUCUGGAGGAAUACCGAUGGCGAAGGCAGCCUUCUGGCAUCAUAUUGACACUGAGGUUCGAAAGCGUGGGUAGCAAACAGG